UACGUAGGUGGCAAGCGUUGUCCGGAAUUAUUGGGCGUAAAGCGCGCGCAGGCGGUCCUUUAAGUCUGAUGUGAAAGCCCACGGCUCAACCGUGGAGGGUCAUUGGAAACUGGGGGACUUGAGUGCAGAAGAGGAGAGUGGAAUUCCACGUGUAGCGGUGAAAUGCGCAGAGAUAUGGAGGAACACCAGCGGCGAAGGCGGCUCUCUGGUCUGCAACUGACGCUGAGGUACGAAAGCAUGGGGAGCAAACAGG
rnacentral:misc_RNA from 1 species